rnacentral:rRNA from 1 species
CUUAAAGCAUGCAAAUCAAGGGGACUCGCAAGAGUCAACGGUAGACGGGUGAGUCAUCCAUCGGAAUCUCCCUGGAAGUGGGAUCUCGCUUGCCGAAAGGUGAGGUAAUCUCCCAUGUGAUCGUAAGAUUAAAGCCGUAAGGCGCUUCUAGAUGAGCCUGCGUCCUAUCAGCUUGUUGGUGGGGUAAUGGCCUACCAAGGCGACGACGGGUAGCUGGUCUGAGAGGAUGGUCAGCCACAAUGGGACUGCGACACGGCCCAUACACCUACGGGUGGCAGCAACCGGGAAUAUUCGACAAUGGACGAAAGUCUGAUCGAGCGACGCCGCGUGGAGGAUGAAGGCCCUCGGGUUGUAAACUCCUUUUAUCUGGGAAGAUUAUGACGGUACCAGAUGAAUAAGCACUUGCUAACUACGUGCCAGAAGCCUCGGUAAUGCGUAGAGUGCAAACGUUAUCCGGAUUUAUUGGGCGUAAAGAGUGCGUAGGCUGUCCGAUGCAUCUUAUUUGAAAUAUUCCGACUCAAUCGGGAUUUUGGAUAAGAUAUGAUCGGACUUGAUGGUAUGGGAGGGUGUUGGAACCGAUGGUGUAGCAGUGAAAUGCGUUGAUAUCAUCGGGAACCCCAAAGGCGUAGGCAGACACUUAACAUACUCAUGACGCUGAGGCACGAAAGCUGGGGGAGCGAAACAGAUUAGAGACCUGUGUAGUCCCAGCCGUAAACUAUCUCUGCUAGAUAGUGGCUUUUGUCACUGUCGCAGCUAACGCGUUAAGCAGAGCGCCUGGGGAGUACGAGCGCAAGCUUAAAACUCAAAGGAAUUGACGGGGACCCGCACAAGCAGUGGAGCGUGUUGUUUAAUUCGAUACGAAACGAAAAACCUCACCAGGGUUUGACAUGUAUCUGCAAAUCCCAUGAAAGUGGGACUUCUUCGAGAGUGAUACACAGAUGCUGCAUGGCUGUCGUCAGCUCGUGGCGUGAGCUGUUCGGUUAAGUCCGGAAACGAGCGCAACCCUCACCGUAUGUUAAAUAGUUCAUGCGGAACUGACCCGAUUUUUCGGGUAGGAAGGCGAGGAUGACGUCAAGUCAGCACGGUUCUUACACCCUGGGCUACAAACACACUACAAUGGCGAAAAACAACGAGUUGCAAGCUAGCAAUAGCAAGCUAAUCUCUGAAAUUUCGCCUCAGUUCAGAUUGGGGUCUGCAAUUCGACCCCAUGAAGUCGGAAUUGCUAGUAAUCGCGGAUCAGCGUGCCGCGGUGAAUACGAUCUCGGGCCUUGUACACACCGCCCGUCAAGGCAGCAAAGUCGGGGCACCCGAAUCCAUUAUUGUCGAAGGACCGC